rnacentral:misc_RNA from 1 species
AACGCACAUUGCGCCCCUUGGUAUUCCGAGGGGCAUGCCUGUUCGAGCGUCAUUACAACCCUCAAGCAUUGCUUGGUAUUGGGCUCCGCUGUUCACCCAGCGGGCCUUAAAAUCAGUGGCGGUGCCAUCGAGGCCCUGAGCGUAGUAAAUAUCCUCGCUAUAGGGACCCGGUGGACGCUGGCCAUCAACCCCCAACUUUCUAAGUUUGACCUCGGAUCAGGUAGGGAUACCCGCUGAACUUAA